AUUGAACGCUGGCGGCAGGCCUAACACAUGCAAGUCGAACGAGUGGCGGACGGGUGAGUAAUGUCUGGGAAACUGCCUGAUGGAGGGGGAUAACGACUGGAAACGGUAGCUAAUACCGCAUACCAUCAGAUGUGCCCAGAUGGGAUUAGCUGGUGGGUGGGGUAACGGCUCACCUAGGCGACGAUCCCUAGCUGGUCUGAGAGGAUGACCGGCCACACUGGAACUGAGACACGGCCCAGACUCCUACGGGAGGCAGCAGUGGGGAAUAUUGCACAAUGGGCGCAAGCCUGAUGCAGCCAUGCCGCGUGUGUGAAGAAGGCCUUCGGGUUGUAAAGCACUUUCGGCGGGGAGGCGUUACCCGCAGAGGAAGCACCGGCUAACUCCGUGCCAGCAGCCGCGGUAAUAC
rnacentral:rRNA from 1 species